rnacentral:rRNA from 1 species
GUGCCAGCAGCCGCGGUAAUACGGAGGGUGCAAACGUUGCUCGGAAUUAUUGGGCGUAAAGCGUACGUAGGCGGUCCAGCAAGUCGGGUGUGAAAGCCCUCGGCUUAACCGAGGAAGUGCAUUCGAAACUACUGGACUUGAAUACUGGAGAGGAUCGCGGAAUUCCCGGUGUAGAGGUGAAAUUCGUAGAUAUCGGGAGGAACACCAGUGGCGAAGGCGGCGAUCUGGACAGAUAUUGACGCUGAUGUACGAAAGCGUGGGGAGCAAACAGGAUUAGAUACCCGCGUAGUCC